AGGUCAAGCGCGAGAGUAAGAACUACUCAAGGAGUCACAGUACUUAGCAAAACUUUGCUAUCAGGUGGGCAAUUUCUUACGCGUAAAUAAAAUGCUAUGCAUGUGUUAUGCUUUAAAUGCAAAUUGGAUCUUCAAGUAUGGUAUGCUUUAUUACGCUUAAAUGAGUUAAGCUUUAUUAUGCUGCACGUUAAAUGAUUUACGCUAUGCUGUUUAUACUAUUUACGCCCUAUGUAAUUUACGCUUGAUUACACUUAUUUACGCUUGAAUGCUUUACGCUGAUAAGUUUAUGCUUAUGUUUGAUGCUUGCGUCUGUUGGGGGAGCCUCCCUCAACAGUACGAUGCCCGUGUCCGCUGAGGAGGGCCUUCCUCACGGCGCGAUGCCCGUGUCCGCUGAGAGAGGCCUCUCUCGCGGCGCGAUGCCAGUAUGCCAGUGUUACAGCGUCUAUUGGGGGAGGCCUCCCUCAAUAGUACGAUGCCGUGACCGCUGAGGGAGGCCCCCUUCACGGCGCGAUGCCUGUGUUCGUUGGGGAAGGCCUUCUCCACGACACGAUGCGUGUUUAUGAUUGUUAAUGAUGAAGAAUGCGCUCAUGCUAUUUAUGAAUUUGGAAAUGUUUAAUGAGCAAAGGAUUUGAAAGAAACUUAUGCCUCUUAUGCGAUGUUGUGAAAUUGUUAAUGAUGUUAUGUUAUAUGCUUGGCAACUGCCCACUAAGUACUCUUGUACUUAGCCCUUCGAUGUUUAUGUUUGUGCAGGUUGAGCUGUGAUGGGCGAUGAAGUGUUGUUGCUGAGUGGAGUUUUUGUCGAACUUAAAGUAGGCUCAGAAAGGAUACAUGUCUUCAUACAUGUAUCUCAGUUAUGCAUUCCGCUGUAAACACUGAUUAUUUCAGUUACGCCUUCCGUUGCAAACUCUGAUAAUGUUUUAGCCAAGCCC
rnacentral:lncRNA from 1 species